AACCAUUUGAUCUCUUCUCAACAGGUAAUGUUCCAACUGAGAGUUGAGAAAAUCUCAUGACCAUGAAUGAAUUGAUCUGCUUUCUUGAAGUGAUAGUGAAAAUGUGUCCAAGAUCUGUUUAGUUCUAUCUUUUGUAGUUGACGAAUAUAGUGUUUGAGCUGCAUGCUUUGAACAGUGGCCCUCAAUUGUUUUUUAGUGCUGGUGAAUAUUCUGUACUCCUUUUCUCAUGGGAAGCUCAAGUGGGUAAAUUUUUUGGUUUGAUUGACAGAAUGAGAAUUCAGCCAUGU
rnacentral:misc_RNA from 1 species